rnacentral:piRNA from 1 species
AGGAGACAAAGUUCUGCUGACUG